CAAUUUGUUAAUUGUUGAUUAUUCCAAAUACUUUCUCUAGAUAAUAUUGUUUUACUGCUAUCUGUAUUAAUAUUUAAAUUAUUUAUAAGUUCGUCAUCUGGUUGUCUGGACCUAGAAGAUCUAUUUCUCCUAAAUAAACUCAUCUUAAACGUCUAGGGUUUUCGCAUACACUUCCUUCUCUACUCGUUCUGCAGGACUUACACCUUUU
rnacentral:lncRNA from 1 species